GACGUAGGGCGCGAGCGUUGUCCGGAAUCAUUGGGCGUAAAGCGCGUGUAGGCGGUUCGGUAAGUCCGCUGUGAAAGUCGGGGGCUCAACCCUCGGAAGCCGGUGGAUACUGUCGAGCUAGAGUACGGAAGAGGCGAGUGGAAUUCCUGGUGUAGCGGUGAAAUGCGCAGAUAUCAGGAGGAACACCAAUUGCGAAGGCAGCUCGCUGGGACGUUACUGACGCUGAGACGCGAAAGCGUGGGGAGCAAACAGG
rnacentral:rRNA from 1 species